UACAAAGUAUUUAUUGUCGUACAUGAUAAAAGUGAAUUUUGUUUUAUUCGUUUGUACUAGAAGUUUAAUAGUAGUAGUUUUAUCGCAUCCUAGAAUGGCCACCACAAAAUUCUGAUAGGCACAGUUCACUCAGACACUUUUUCUCGUUGUCACUUUCGAUUGAGUGCUCAGGAGGUUGGCUGCAUUGUUUCACUGGAUAGCUAUCCUACAUCAACUCAUCAGCGUGCCAUGCUGGGCAUGGUCAAAAUGGUGCCCAAGAGAGGGACAGAGGACACUCGGUGGACCACCAACCUGAUGGACGGAUAACAUAGUGCGGAACGCGAAAGCAGUGAAGUCGUACACUCUUGGCAUAAUGACGGUGGAUCGUCGAUGAGGCCCUCCUUCGCGAUUGAGGUCCUCGCAAUAUGUCUCCAUCUACUUCUGUUCGCCGCCGAGCGAGAGCAUUCCACAAUAGAUUGCUGUGUGGCUGUUUUGAUGAGGUGUUAUAGUAGAUACCUAUCAAGUAUUACGACACACCCUCAACGGCGAUCGGAUCGGACCACCUAGCACGACGCAAGAAGGUGCGCUACCGAGAAAGACACCUGCGUCGAGUCAGCAUUUCAAUUCCCGCAGCAAAAAUACCCAUUUCCUUUAUGUUUGAUUUUAUAUAACUUCACUUACGGAUCACACAUCGAU